AUUGAACGCUGGCGGCAGGCCUAACACAUGCAAGUCGAGCGGAUGAAGGGAGCUUGCUCCUGGAUUCAGCGGCGGACGGGUGAGUAAUGCCUAGGAAUCUGCCUGGUAGUGGGGGAUAACGUCCGGAAACGGGCGCUAAUACCGCAUACGUCCUGCGGGAGAAAGUGGGGGAUCUUCGGACCUCACGCUAUCAGAUGAGCCUAGGUCGGAUUAGCUAGUUGGUGGGGUAAAGGCCUACCAAGGCGACGAUCCGUAACUGGUCUGAGAGGAUGAUCAGUCACACUGGAACGGAGACACGGUCCAGACUCCUACGGGAGGCAGCAGUGGGGAAUAUUGGACAAUGGGCGAAAGCCUGAUCCAGCCAUGCCGCGUGUGUGAAGAAGGUCUUCGGAUUGUAAAGCACUUUAAGUUGGGAGGAAGGGCAGUAAGUUAAUACCUUGCUGUUGUGACGUUACCAACAGAAUAAGCACCGGCUAACUUCGUG
rnacentral:rRNA from 1 species